GACGAACGCUGGCGGCGUGCUUAACACAUGCAAGUCGAACGGAAAGGCCCUGCUUUUGUGGGGUGCUCGAGUGGCGAACGGGUGAGUAACACGUGAGUAACCUGCCCUUGACUUUGGGAUAACUUCAGGAAACUGGGGCUAAUACCGGAUAGGAGCUCCUGCUGCAUGGUGGGGGUUGGAAAGUUUCGGCGGUUGGGGAUGGACUCGCGGCUUAUCAGCUUGUUGGUGGGGUAGUGGCUUACCAAGGCUUUGACGGGUAGCCGGCCUGAGAGGGUGACCGGCCACAUUGGGACAGAGAUACGGCCCAGACUCGUACGGGAGGCAGCAGUGGGGAAUAUUGCACAAUGGGCGGAAGCCUGAUGCAGCAACGCCGCGUGCGGGAUGACGGCCUUCGGGUUGUAAACCGCUUUCGCCUGUGACGAAGCGUGAGUGACGGUAAUGGGUAAAGAAGCACCGGCUAACUACGUG
rnacentral:rRNA from 1 species